rfam:Gossypium hirsutum cultivar TM-1 chromosome 10, whole genome shotgun sequence
UGUUAAAAAUUUUAUUAUUUGUACUAUUAAAAAUUAGUGUAGCAUAGAAUAACCGGACAGUGAUCGGUGGCGUGUUAUGCGUACAUCAUGCUAACAUGCAAGUAUUAAUUUUUAACAAUAGAAAUGGAUUAAAAUUUUAACA